GGGAGAGUGUCUGUGUGCAGGAGGGGGAGCCCCACAGCAGGGCCAGUGGUGUGGGGAGGGCAAGGGGAAGGGAGGUGGUUUUUUCUCUGAGCAGCAUCCUGUUUCCAGAAUCACCCCCUUCCCUCAUUUUCUCAGCUGCAGACCCUAGGUCUCUCACCCAGAGAGGUAGGCCCCAGAUCUUCCCUCAUAGCCCAGGCUCUUUGCUAUUGUCAGCCCCAUGGCUCCUCUCCGUCUGCUGCUAUCGUGAGCUUCUAUAUUUAACACAAGAUUUCUGUCUGCGGCAGAGGGCAUUUUCUGAGAUAGCUGAAUGAAGGUCAGCUCUUGAAUAGGUUUGAAUUUUGAUGGUGCUGUGAAUGAACUGUCUCCUAGUCCCAGAAAGCUGCAAGAUGAAGUCUUUUGUACUGCAGAGGGAAGCUUUGAAGAAUCCCAGUGAUGUCUGAGUCCCUGAAACUUGUGCCACACAAGAGCACAGCUUGCAGUCACUGAGGAAUACAGCCGUGGAAGGUGGGUGCUGGGUUGCUCCUGAGCUGUGCUUGUCCCAUCAGCUUCCUCUGCUUCCUCCCUGUCCCUGGGGGCAGGUGGACACCUGCUGCCUGUGCUCUCAGAGAAGGCAGGAACCUCACCGCCAACCUCAGCCAACACAGGAAUGGGCCUCACAGCACACUACACUACACUACAGAGCCAUCUGUGAAGCUCCACCCAUGUAACGUGCAUUUUUCAUGUUCUCUUUCCAUAUGUGGGUCAGAAUAACAGAGAAAGGCUUCAGGAGCUAUGCUGACCAGGCUUUAAGACUGGCUGUUGGAAGAAAGCCUUCCUCAGAAGUUGGCACCGAUUUGUCAAAUCAUGUUUUUUCCCCUGAUCUAAGCAUGCCAGCUCAGCUGGAGCAGCUUUGAACGAGGGUGGUCUGAAACAGCUCGCUGAAACCGGUCGUUGGAGGACAAUAUUCCCACCCCUGUUUGUACUGCAGCAAUAUUUCAUUGGAUUAGCGCUGGAUGCAGCUCUGGCAAACUAAUGUACAUCCAUACCAAUUUGCGCAACUGUCUGCAGGUACUCCCCUUGGGACUGCACUCCGCAGUGACUUGGUGUUAGUCAUUGUUUUCCCAUGACUCUGUGCUUUUUAAGCCAAAUGCUUGAUAUUCCAGGCAGGUGACAUAUGGUGCAACUUUCUGCUGCUGCAAGCAGAGAAAGUCAGAUGCAGCCCACGGAAAUACUGAGUUAGGAAGGUGUGGCUUUCUGAUGGUUCACACAGGUCCUCAGGCUGAAAUCUGAAAGACAGAGCUGCCUCAGCUUCACCCAUCUCCUUCUCUCGUGGAAAAUAAAGUGGCUGCAGAGGGCAUUUUCUUGGGACUUUUUCUCAUAACAAAACCACGGCAUUUCCUGCUGCAUUCCCUGAGAUAAGAGCAUAUGGAUCUGAGAGAAAUGAAGGGGAAGUAAAAGAACUGCAGGUCUACGUUGCUACUUCUGAGGUCCCGAAUGAACGGCAGUGAAUAAAUAUUGCCGAGUCUUAAUGGAAAGUCAUGUCUUACCCAAGUCGCAUGCUUUUCACCAGAAAGAAAAGUGGAAGGCACAUGUCAGUGCCAACAGCACCAUCUUCUGUCUGCAGAGGUUAUGCAGCCUUCACUCACGCUUCCCUGAGUCCUCCAGAGAUGGGGCCGGUUGAGACUCCUGGAUCUACUGCUGGAUGUUGAGCUCUUCGUGAGUUUGAGUGUCUGAACAAGUCUGAUUGUAUGCGGGGAAGUGUGGGUGUAUGAAAGGCUACAAAAGCUUCAGCUCUUGUACCACUUAUCCCUGGAGCAACCUUUUCAUCUGCCUUUUAUUAUUCUCCUCACAAAAACUCAGUUGCAAAACUUACCCUACAUUUUUUUUUCCCUGUGGCUGAAUAUAUUGCCAGUUUAUAAUUUUUAUUAUUAUUGCUUCUUGCAAUUAGUGUUAUCCUUCUUCUCUACGCAUAUUACUGCACUGACUGUCCUUAGGGGAGCAGCAGGCAAUCAUUUUUGCCUUAGGAAAUUUGCAGCCCAAAUGGAUGAGAAGAUAAGCACAGUCAGGGGACCACCUUACUGGUUCACAUAGAUAGCGUAGGAUUAAUGUCAGUGUUAAAACAAAGCCGUGUUUGUGGAAUGAGAGAGAAAAACAAGGCGGUGUUUAGCAUGAAGAAAAACAUGAAGCAUGAAAGUACUUGCUUGAAAGUCCAGUGCAUGGACAAUUAGGACUGGUAGCGUUGGGUAGGUCAGUGUGAAAGCCAAUGUCUUGGCAUUAGAUAAGAGGAUGGGAAAGUAUAAAGUCAAAGAUUAUUUUGGAUGUAACUAGAAGAAAGGGAUGCCACAACUGGCUGAGCAAACUUUAGUGAGAGUAAAUCUUGCUGACUGCAGGAAACCUGGUCAGUGAGGGUCUGAAGUGGAACUGGAGCAGACAAACUCCAUACUCACUGUAAGUGGGAAGUAAGUUUAGAUAUGAAGGGGAGGAGGGAGAGAAGGCAGUAGCUGAGGAGACAGGCUGAAUCUCCUUUUAAAGGACGAAAGAUUAAAAUAUACUUGCAUCACAACCCAAAAGAGCUAGAAGAAAGGUUUAAAAGCAGUGUAGAGGAGGAAAUGAAACAGGAUUGAGAGGAUUAGGAAAUAAAAGCACAGCCAGCUUGUAGAAAUGAUCUGACCACCUACUUGGCUAGACAUUAUUUAUUUUCUCUUCCAGUUGGACCACUUCUUCCUCUAUCCCUCUUAGCCAAGGGUUCAAGGAUUAAAGAACAAACUCUACAUGAGGUGGCUUUCUUCUUUGCCUCUCUCAUCCCUUGUAACUCUUUUUCCUAUCCCCUAGCUUUCGCUAGUGCUUUCGCUUCUACCCAACUUGUUCAGCUUCAUCUAAACUUAGAAGAUAUGUACACAGGUCCCACUCACGAAGAGCUCCAAGCAUGGCAUCCACCCAGCAGGAAGCUGUGUCCUCUGCAUCCCCUGCAGCCUCUCUGUCCACAGAAACCAACGUGGCUUCCCAGACAGAGCUCCCAGGGAACAUGCAGCCACUCAGGUGUAGGGUUGCAGAGAGUGCCUGAACUCUGGAACUCAAUGGACAAGCAAAUGUGGAUGAAGGUCCAUCCAGGUUGGAGGGGUCACUUAUGGUCACUUUCGUCAAGAAAAACAGAAAGGCAGUUGUUAGAGAAACACAGAAUAUAUCAAUCUGAAAGAGGAUCACCAGGAUCACUGAGUCCAACUGCCAGCUCCAAACAGAAACACCCAAAACUCAAACCCUAUGUCUGAGAGAAUUGCUCAAAUGCUCCUUGAACUCUAGCAGCCUGGGGCCAUGGCCACUUCCCUGGGGACCACUCCUGCUGCAGUUGUUAACAUACUGUUAAUACUAAGCAUAAAUUUUGCUAUUUAUGUACCAACUAGCUCAUUACAUAUUAAUGAAUGCCUUCUGGGUGUAUUCAGUGCUAGUCAGACAGGGAUAAUCUUUCUUCCCAUGACCCCUACUGUUCCUUUCUUUUUCUUGACUUCAUAUCUACCUUCCUGAUUUUUUUUCCCUUUAGCUUUCUGCAUCACGUUCACAUACUCCCUAGUCUAACCUCUCAUGAGCUGAAUUCCUCAUCCACUUGUCUGAUCUGACAAUCUGCAGUAGUGCAGUUCAAAUGUAAAUGCUGUGUUUCAGUUGAUAAGAUUUUGCACCCGUUGUGAUAAAAAUAAAGGCAAGGUGGAAUUCAGACAAUAAUGGAGAAAAACAAAGCACCUGAUAUGUUAUUGUUUUGAUUGUACACACCUUUAAAGCUUAAUUUGGCUAGGUCCUGCAUGUGCCUGGAACUUUUGGGGACUUAUUCAAGCCUGUUUAAAAGAAGUGCCAACAAUACAUCUUGACUGCAUGCUUUAGGUAACAAAUGGAAGAAUUACUAAAGACAUCAGAGUGACUGGAUAAGCAAACAAAACAUGCUAUAGCAUAGAAGAGUUCUCAGCUGGUAGCAUUCUGUUCAGUUAUUUCAUACAUCCUGUCAUUCCUCUUCUGCAAAGUGUUUUUGUGUGAGUGAAACAAGGUACAGUGUUUUACUUCACAUUUAAUUGUAUCACUUUGAAUUGUUUUCUUGAUCUUUUUCUUGAGUAGUUAUUUUAUUUGGAACGACAUACACGGCAAAGUGUUAAACCUAAAAGGAAACCUUAUUAACAAGCAGGAUUAAAAGUUGUUCCUUUUCCCACACAGGUAGACUUGUUGUGUUCUGCCAUGGUCAUGUGGACAGGUCUCAGCAACUAGAGAAUGCCUGUUUUAUAAAUGAUCGUUUGAAGCUGGCAGCCCAUGGCUUCAACAGCUAUGCUCUCUGUUGGAUAAAAAACUGGCUGGAGGACCAAGCCCAGAGAGCAGGGGUGGAUGGAGUUAAAUCCAGCAGGCAACCUGUCACGAGUGGUGUUCCACAAGGGUCCGUCUUGGGGCCUGUCCUGUUUAAGAUCGUUGCUGAUGAUCUCAACAAGGGGAUUAAGUGAACCCUC
ensembl:lncRNA